UAAUACGGAGGGUGCAAGCGUUGUUCGGAUUUAUUGGGCGUAAAGAGCAUGUAGGCGGUCUGUUAAGUUAGAGGUGAAAGCCCCGGGCUCAACCCGGGAAGUGCCUUUGAUACUGGCAGACUUGAGUACGGGAGAGGGUAGUGGAAUUCCAAGUGUAGAGGUGGAAUUCGUAGAUAUUUGGAGGAACACCAGUGGCGAAGGCGGCUACCUGGACCGAUACUGACGCUGAGAUGCGAAAGCGUGGGGAGCAAACAGGAUUAGAUACCCUGGUAGUCCACGCCCUAAACGAUGAGUACUAGGUGUUGCGGGCUUGACCUGCAGUGUCGCAGCUAACGCAUUAAGUACUCCGCCUGGGAAGUACGGCCGCAAGGCUA
rnacentral:rRNA from 1 species